UUACCAGAGCAUUUAACAUCAGAAUAAAUAACUAGUAACAUCAAUCUAAACAAUAGUGUAUCAAAUCCGGCCGCUUAUUUGUGUAUUGAUAUCUAAAUCAAUAGCAGUAACCAAAACAUCAUCUCACCCAAACUCUUGAUUGCAACGAUUAAGGUGAAGACUAUGGAGAGAGAGAGAGUCGUACGAGAAAGGGUGGACGCAAUCAACCAGAGGAAGAUUAUCCUGUUGCAGGAGAAUAUUGAAACCAAGCCAACCAAAAAGGCACGAAAAGGGUGAAGUAAGGAUAGCAGCAGAGAGUUUAUACAGAUGAUGUCCAAUCUGUUGAAGAGAUGGGCUUUGGUGCCUUGCUUCACUACAAAGUACAAAGUGGAUGCUUUGCCUACCAAAUUAGCCCGGACGAUAUUGGAGAAUUUCGAUAGCGAUACUUGUGGCGUAAAAUACCUGCAUUGUAUAUUGUAUUUAACCGACGAAGACGUGCAGAUGACUUUUGGUCUUCCCAAAGGAAAUGAGAGAAUCGAGAGGAAUACCCGUCAGCCCGUGAACUAGCAAAUGCAGGCAACACAACCCCUUAAGAUGAUGCGGACAGAAUACCUCAUACACAGCUCUUUUUAUUUUAUAGGAGCAUCCGCAUCGUGUCUCCAUGUUUCUUACCCAUGCUCGUUUUCUGACACUUUUUUUUAUUAGGCUGCUGAGUGAUACCCGGGGGGAGAUCUUUUCAGGAAGCUCUUCCUAAUCGUCCUCGACACUAUCUUCCUUAAUCCACCUGGAGACGCUUACUGCCACACUCAGAUUAUAAAAACAAUUCAAGACUUUCCGAAUGUUAGGGACUAUAAUUGGUGUGGGUACGUGCUAGACAUGAUACAAACUGUGGUCCGAUAAUCCGAGGAAAGCAUUCUCUGGCCCGCUCUCCUUUCUCGUUCUUUGCUACGUGGACAGGAUCAUGCUCAAGAGACGCCUGGUAACACGUACAUUCCCAACGAUUAAGGGGUGGACAAUACAGCUCCUAUACAAACGACAGAAGAUGGAGUUUGAGCCAGGGCCGUUUGGAAGAGGAAAGGAAGAGCCCACGCUUGAUCCGAGGAAUUAGUUAGGCGAAGAAGCCUUUCAAGCAGUUGCAACUUGCAACAGCUUUGUUGGAGAUGAACGAGAAAAGUCCAAGUGGUAACCCAAGAGUUAUGGAA